rnacentral:rRNA from 1 species
AUUGAACGCUAGCGGGAUGCUUUACACAUGCAAGUCGAACGAGUGGCGGACGGGCGAGCAAUAUAUCGGAACGUGCCCAGUAGCGGGGGCUAACUACUCGAAAGAGUGGAUAAUACCGCGUACUACUGGAGCGGCCGUUAUCGGAUUAUCUAGUUGGUGGGGAAAAGGCUGACCAAGGCAACGAGCCGUAGCUGGUUUGAGAGGACGACAAGCCACACAGGGACUGAGAGACGGCCUCGACUCCUACGGGAGGCAGCAAUGGGGAAGUUUGGACAAUGGGGGAAACCCUGAUCCAGCCACGCCGCGUGUAUGAGAAGGCCUUCGGGUUGUAAAGUUCUUUUGGCAGAGAAGCGGUAUCUGCCGAAUAAGCACCGGCUAACUACGUGCCAGCAGCCGCGGUAAUAC